UCGGCAAAUUCCCAAUCGCUCGCGGCAACAUCCCAUCCAAAUCCAAACUCUCGUCUUUUACCUCCGAAAAAUCUCAACUUUCUCCCUCCCUCCCCUCCCCCCCCCCCCCCUCUCUCUCUCUCUCUCUGGUUUUUGGGUACAAUUCGACAUGGCCGGCGCUGGGAUCCAUCCAUACCACCAGCAAUGGCCUCCCGCAGCCGCCGCUCCUCAUCCGCCGCCCCCGGCUGUCGGCUCCAUCGCUCCUCCUCCUCACCACCUCGUCGACAACCCAAACCGAGCCGUUACCGAAGAGGUCCGCACCAUAUUCAUCACUGGUCUUCCAGAGGAUGUGAAGGAGAGAGAGAUACAGAACCUCCUGAGAUGGCUGCCGGGAUACGAGGCCUCGCAGGUCAACAACAAAGGCGAGAAACCUAUGAGUUUCGCUCUCUUUUCCACUGCUCAGCAAGCCAUUGCUGCCAAAGACGCCCUUCAGGGUAUGAUUUUCGAUUCGGAAUCGAAGGCGGUGCUGCACACGGAGAUGGCGAAGAAGAAUCUUUUUGUUAAAAGAGGAAUUGUAGCUGAUACAAGUGCUUACGAUCAAAGUAAACGAUUGCGAACUGGUGGUGACUACUCACAGGGUGGUUAUAGUAGUCCAUCUCCUUUUCAUCCUCCUCCUCCACCUGUUUGGGGGCCACAUGGGUAUAUGGCUCCACCACCCCCUACGUAUGAUCCAUAUGGUGGUUAUCCUGUUCCUCCAGUACCAAUGCACCCUCCUCCUCCUGUACCAGCACCAGCACCAAGUAGUUAUGUACCUGUUCUGAACACUAAAGAUAACCCACCAUGCAAUACCUUAUUUAUUGGAAAUCUGGGAGAGAGCAUUAAUGAGGAAGAAUUGAGGGGCCUUUUCAGCUCACAACCUGGAUUUAAGCAAAUGAAGGUCCUAAGACAAGAAAGGCAUACUGUUUGUUUCAUUGAGUUUGAAGAUGUGAACAGUGCCACCAAUGUACACCAGGCUUUGCAGGGUGCUGUUAUCCCCAGUUCUGGUUCUGUAGGCAUGAGAAUACAAUAUUCGAAGAACCCAUUUGGGAGAAGGAAGGAUGGAAACCACCCUGGUGCUGUCCCUACUGCCAAUGGAGCUCCGCCGACUAUGACAUACCAGUAGCUUGAAGGGGAUGUACUCUGUUCCUUAUGCUACAGAAACACAACCACAUGAUAGGAUGCAUCUUGCAGCUGUUGCAUGCAUCCAUUUCAUAGUCACGUCAUCAGCAUUAGCAUCUCUCCUCUUGUGAAUGAAUGCACAUAGUGGCAUCAUGAACAUACCAUUUGGCUAUGUUAUAACGUGUUUGUGACAUGCAUUUUCAGCAGUAUGUGUUAAUGCCUGGAUAUUAGGGGCUCAAAUAUUGUUAUCAUCUUAUACCGUAUUUGUGACAUGCAUAUUUCAGCAGUAUAUCUGUUAAUGCAAUAUUAGGGACAGUAAUAUGGUUAUCAUCUGUAGGGUGGUGCAUGGGUCUGCAGAUUUGUUAGAUUGGAGUGUUUUUUGCUUUAUAUUAAAUUGUUGCACAUUGAAAUUAGGAAGGCGUCCAUAUAGACAUCUUGCCACUUUUACAUUUUUUUGUUUACAUGGUUUUGAGAUUCAAUUAUCUUAACCAAUCAUCUGAAGGUGUUCCUCAGUUCUAUUUCGUGGCAUAACUUUCAUUCGGAUGUGGAUACUUAGGAAAACAUGCCAUUAAUUGUCAUGUUUUCCCUUCCAUCACCUUUGUCAUUUCCAUCCCCAUGACAUUCUAAUAACUUAGACUAAUCAUAGGUCAUCGUUUAAGCGAGGAGAGUUAGACAUGCAGUUUUACCAUUCAAGAUGUUCGAAGCAUGGCUUUUCAGUAAGACGUUGGGUAUUAUAUAUGCUGUGUGGUUUAUAUACAGGAUUUUCCAAUACAAAAUGAGAAUGCACUAUACAUUUGAGGAGGUCUGGUGUCUGCAGCUGCUCGUUUGUUUCAGUGGCGACCAAAUAUUUUCCCUAUUCCAACAAGGACGAAAACGAUAUUGUUCCAAAAUCAUAUGAAGGAAGAAUGCAUCACAUGCUUUAUUGUCAGAAGUCACAGAUUGACAAAAAAAGAAGGGGAGAAGUCACAGAAUUGAGUAGUAAUCAUUUAAUACAAAUAUGAACUCCACGUGUGGACACGACGGAGUCCACUUCCAGUCGCAACUUCCAUACCUUCUAUUCACAUUGCGUAAUGUCUUCUCUGGAUUCUCUGCUUAAAUAUUGCCUUUUGCCAAAAAUAAAUAAAUAAAUAAGAGCAUUUUCAAAGAUGUGAAAAUCUUUGAUGAAAUGUUACUAUGUAUAUUUGACAUCAAAAGUCUAUUCAACUGAAAUGUUAUUUGUUGAUUGAAUUUGAAAACUUUA